UCCCACUUCCGCUUCCGGUGCGGGCGGCGCGCGGGCGCAGCGGUGGGAGGCGGCGACGAGCCGGUGGAGGCCCCAGGCUUGGCCUCACCACGAUGUGGCACGAGGCUCGGAAGCAUGAGCGGAAGCUUCGAGGCAUGAUGGUGGACUACAAGAAGAGGGCGGAGCGGAGGCGCGAGUACUAUGAAAAGAUCAAGAAGGACCCGGCCCAGUUCCUGCAGGUGCACGGCCGAGCUUGCAAGGUGCACCUGGAUUCAGCAGUCGCCCUGGCUGCCGAGAGCCCCGUUAACAUGAUGCCCUGGCAGGGAGACACCAACAACAUGAUUGACCGCUUCGACGUCCGCGCCCACCUGGACCACAUCCCCGACUACACGCCCCCACUGCUCACCACCAUCUCCCCAGAGCAGGAGUCGGACGAGCGGAAGUGUAACUACGAGCGCUACCGUGGCCUGGUGCAGAACGACUUUGCCGGCAUCUCGGAGGAGCAGUGCCUGUACCAGAUCUACAUUGACGAGCUGUACGGAGGCCUGCAGAGACCCAGUGAGGACGAGAAGAAGAAGCUGGCAGAGAAGAAGGCUUCCAUUGGCUACACCUACGAGGACAGCACGGUGGCUGAGGUGGAGAAGGUGGUGGAGAAGCCAGAGGAGGAGGAGUCGCCAGCUGAGGAGGAGAGCAACUCGGACGAAGAUGAGGUCAUCCCCGACAUCGACGUGGAGGUGGAUGUGGACGAACUGAACCAGGAGCAGGUGGCCGACCUCAACAAACAGGCCACGACCUAUGGCAUGGCUGAUGGCGACUUCGUCAGGAUGCUCCGGAAAGACAAAGAGGAGGCGGAGGCCAUCAAGCAUGCCAAGGCCCUUGAGGAGGAGAAGGCCAUGUACUCGGGCCGGCGCUCCCGGCGCCAGCGGAGGGAGUUCCGGGAGAAGCGGCUGAGAGGCCGCAAGAUCAGCCCACCCAGCUAUGCCCGCCGAGACAGCCCCACCUACGACCCCUAUAAGCGGUCACCCUCCGAAUCCAGCUCUGAGUCCCGCUCCCGCUCCCGCUCCCCGACCCCGGGCCGCGAGGAGAAGAUCACGUUCAUCACCAGUUUUGGGGGCAGCGACGAGGAGGCCGCCGCAGCCGCGGCUGCCGCAGCCGCAUCAGGGGCCGCCACAGGGAAGCCCCCCGCACCCCCCCAGCCUGGCGGCCCCGCACCGGGACGUAAUGCCAGCGCCCGCCGCCGCUCCUCUUCCUCUUCCUCCUCCUCCUCUGCCUCGAGGACUACCAGCUCCCGCUCCAGCUCCCGUUCCAGCUCCCGCUCCCGCCGCGGCGGGGGCUACUACCGCUCCGGCCGCCACGCCCGCUCCCGCUCCCGCUCCUGGUCCCGCUCCCGCUCCCGCUCCCGGCGCUACUCUCGGUCCCGCAGCGGCGGUCGGCGCCACUCGUGCGGGGGCUCCCGGGACGGACCCCGCUACUCGCGCUCGCCUGCCCGGCGUGGCGGCUACGGGCCCCGGCGCAGAAGCAGGAGCCGCUCCCGCUCAGGGGACCGCUACAGGCGGGGCGGCCGGGGCCCCCGGCACCACAGCAGUAGCCGCAGCCGCAGCAGCUGGUCCCUCAGCCCGUCCCGCAGUCGCAGCCUGACUCGGAGCCGCAGCCCCAGCCAGAGCCGCAGCCGCAGCCAGAGCCGCAGCCGUAGCCGCAGCCAGAGUCACUCGCCAUCACCCCCCAGGGAGAAGCUGACCAGGCCGGCGGCGUCCCCGGCUGUGGGCGAGAAGCUGAAAAAGACCGAGCCUGCCGCUGGUAAAGAGACAGGAGCUGCCAAAGUCACCCAAGCUGACGCCGCAGGAGAAGCUGAAGCUGAGGAUGCAGAAGGCGCUGAACAGGCAGUUCAAGGCGGAUAAGAAGGCGGCUCAGGAGAAGAUGAUACAGCAGGAGCACGAGCGCCAGGAGCGGGAAGACGAGCUUCGCGCCAUGGCCCGCAAGAUCCGGAUGAAGGAGCGGGAACGCCGAGAGAAGGAGAGAGAGGAAUGGGAACGCCAGUACAGCCGGCAGAGCCGCUCGCCCUCCCCCCGUUACAGUCGAGAAUACAGCUCCUCCCGAAGGCGCUCAAGGUCCCGGUCCCGAAGUCCCCACUACCGGCAUUAGACAGAAGCCUGGGGGCCAGGGGAUGAGGGACGGGGUGAGGGCUCAAGCUGUGAGGCUGCUGGUUUUCUCUCGGAUGAAAUAAAAUCACGUUAUUUAAUUCCCUUCA